AAGAUGGUACACAAAUAAAUGCGUAUAGAUAAAGUAGUUGACGGGCAAAUGCCUGGCGCCUAAAUUGGUUUGGAUGGCGUCUUCUUCUUGUAGUCUUUCUUGAAAAUGGCUAACGAACGACUAACUAAUAACAACGAUCUUCUAAUUCUCUCUCCUUUAUACAGUUUUUGUAGUACUAGUCGAUCGUCAAAUUUUACCAAAACAUAAAACUUCCUAAAAUUGAUGUUCUUCUCAUUAAUGUUCUCAUAAAUUUAUCCC
rnacentral:lncRNA from 1 species